rnacentral:rRNA from 1 species
UACGGAGGGUGCAAGCGUUAUCCGGAUUCACUGGGUUUAAAGGGUGCGUAGGUGGGUUGGUAAGUCAGUGGUGAAAUCUCCGAGCUUAACUUGGAAACUGCCAUUGAUACUAUCAAUCUUGAAUAUUGUGGAGGUCAGCGGAAUAUGUCAUGUAGCGGUGAAAUGCUUAGAUAUGACAUAGAACACCAAUUGCGAAGGCAGCUGGCUACGCAUAUAUUGACACUGAGGCACGAAAGCGCGGGGAUCAAACAGG